rnacentral:rRNA from 1 species
AGUGAACGCUGGCGGUAGGCCUAACACAUGCAAGUCGAACGGCAGCACAGUAAGAGCUUGCUCUUACGGGUGGCGAGUGGCGGACGGGUGAGGAAUACAUCGGAAUCUACUUUUUCGUGGGGGAUAACGUAGGGAAACUUACGCUAAUACCGCAUACGACCUACGGGUGAAAGCAGGGGAUCUUCGGACCUUGCGCGAUUGAAUGAGCCGAUGUCGGAUUAGCUAGUUGGCGGGGUAAAGGCCCACCAAGGCGACGAUCCGUAGCUGGUCGGAGAGGAUGAUCGGCGACACUGGAACUGAGACACGGUCCAGACUCCUACGGGAGGCAGCAGUGGGGAAUAUUGGACAAUGGGCGCAAGCCUGAUCCAGCCAGACCGCGUGGGUGAAGAAGGCGUUCGGGUUGUAAAGCCCUUUUGUUGGGAAAGAAAAGCAGCAGGUUAAUACCCCGCUGUUCUGACGGUACCCAAAGAAUAAGCACCGGCUAACUUCGUG